rnacentral:misc_RNA from 1 species
GAUGAAGAACGUAGUGAAAUGCGAUAAGAAAUGUGAAUUGCAGAAUUCAGUGAAUCAUCGAAUCUUUGAACGCACCUUGCGCCCUUUGGCUAUUCCGAAGGGCAUGCCUGUUUGAGUAUCAUGAACACCUCAACUCUCAUGGUUUGCCAUGAUGAGCUUGGACUUUGGGGGUCUUGCCGGCCUAUGGGUCGGCUCCUCUCAAAUUAAUCAGCUUGCCAGUGUUUGGUGGCAUCACAGGUGUGAUAACUAUCUACGCUUGUGGUUUUCCAUCAGGUAUCCUUCAGUGAUGGAGGUUCGCUGGGGCUCAUAAAUGUCUCUCCUCAGUGAGGACAGCUUUUUUGAACGUUUGAUCUCAAAUCAGGUAGGACUACCCGCUGAACUUAAGCAUAUCAAUAAGCGGAGGA